UGGGGAAUUUUGGACAAUGGGGGCAACCCUGAUCCAGCCAUUCCGCGUGAGUGAAGAAGGCCUUCGGGUUGUAAAGCUCUUUCGGCAGGAACGAAACGGCGAGCUCUAACAUAGCUUGCUAAUGACGGUACCUGAAGAAGAAGCACCGGCUAACUACGUGCCAGCAGCCGCGGUAAUACGUAGGGUGCGAGCGUUAAUCGGAAUUACUGGGCGUAAAGCGUGCGCAGGCGGUUGUGCAAGACAGAUGUGAAAUCCCCGGGCUCAACCUGGGAACUGCGUUUGUGACUGCAUAACUAGAGUACGGCAGAGGGAGGUGGAAUUCCGCGUGUAGCAGUGAAAUGCGUAGAUAUGCGGAGGAACACCGAUGGCGAAGGCAAUCCCCUGGGCCUGUACUGACGCUCAUGCACGAAAGCGUGGGGAGCAAACA
rnacentral:rRNA from 1 species